rnacentral:tRNA from 1 species
GCCCGUCUAGCUCAGUUGGCAGAGCGCAAGGCUCUUAACCUUGUGGUCCUGGGUUCGAGCCCCAGGGUGGGCG